rnacentral:rRNA from 1 species
CAGUCGCCGCGGUAAUACAGAGGAUGCAAGCGUUAUCCGGAAUGAUUGGGCGUAAAGCGUCUGUAGGUGGCUUUUCAAGUCCGCCGUCAAAUCCCAGGGCUCAACCCUGGACAGGCGGUGGAAACUACCAAGCUGGAGUACGGUAGGGGCAGAGGGAAUUUCCAGUGGAGCGGUGAAAUGCGUUGAGAUCGAAAAGAACACCAACAGCGAAAGCACUCUGCUGGGACGACACUGACACUAAGAGACGAAAGCUAGGGGAGCAAAUGGGAUUAGAUACCCCAGUAGUCCCUGUCUCUUAUAC